UUAAGAGCAUUAAUGGGUAGGGUUUGGACUCGGGACCGAAGAGUUGUGGCCGCGGGGGACGGCAGGCGGCGAUGGCUACGGAAUUGGACGGGGAGGAGGAGACGGCUGCUGCAGCUGGAAAACUCACCGGAAGUCCGCAGCUCUCUGUGGAAGAUGACCUCCGUGAGAUGGCCAAGAAUGCAGCGUGGAGCGUUAGCUCCUACAAGCCUGGGAAUAACGUCCUCUCCCUCCGCGAUGACAACCUAGAUACCUACUGGCAAUCGGAUGGAGCGCAGCCUCAUUUGGUGAAUAUUCAGUUUCAGAAAAAGGUUAAGCUACAGCUAGUAAUUCUCUAUGUGGAUUUCAAAUUGGAUGAGAGCUACACACCUAGCAAGAUCUCGAUCCGGGCUGGAGAUGGUUUCCACAACCUGAAGGAGAUUAAAACUGUGGAGCUUAUGAAGCCAGUUGGAUGGGUUCAUAUAUCUUUGUCAGGAAAUGAUCCCCGAGAAACCUUCAUUAAUACUUUCAUGCUUCAAGUUGCUAUUUUGUCAAAUCAUCUAAAUGGGCGGGAUACACAUAUACGCCAAAUCAAAAUAUAUGGUCCUAGACCAAACCCUGUCCCCCUUCAACCAUUUCAUUUUACUUCACAAGAAUUCAUUACCUACUCAACCAUUAGAUAAGCAGUGUCAGCGCCAAUCUCUGUUGUAUGAAGUUCAUGAGGUAAUGAGAACCAAAGCUGUAAAAAACAUUGAACAAAUUUGGAUAUAACCUUUUUGUCUAAGAGUUUUAGUUACAAGAUUUUUUUUUACUUGUGUGGCUAAAGAAGUGAAACAUAAAUAACCUGUCUCAGUGCAAUGACUGCUAUAAGCUGUUCUUUCAAACUUGGAAAUUUCUGCCAUCUGUAAAUUGGAUUUCCAUUUAUGUCACUGCAAUACACUAAGAUCUGCAUGUUUCUACUAAGCAUAUUUAUGGUUAUUUUGAUAGAUGUUAGAUGAACAAAUAUACCUUGCACUGGAUCAUCCUGUAUCUUACACAUGAAUAUAGACAUAGUGCUAUUGUUUCAUCUCCAAUAGUUAUAAGAAAACACAGAAUGCACACUGUUCAGCAAUUAUCUGGUAUAAUAGGUGAUAUUGCUUUGUCGAAGUGGAUAAACAUGAUCUAGUAUCAUCCAUGAAGAUGAUCUGCAGAAAUACAUGUGUGUCAAUAUCCACGGGGAAGGGAUUGCUUUUUAUUAUCUGUGAAUUGACAGAUCUAAAUUCAGACCAAGAUUCUUGAGAGUAUGUUCAGUGCUAUACAUGCACGACAUCUUGGCAGCAAAAGUAACUGUUGAAAAUAGAGACUUAAGACAGAUUGCAAAUAGCUAAGGAGUUGAUAUUGUUGUUGUAAUUAUUUCAAAGGAAAAGAAUAUACUUGUGAUGGCUAGUAUUUGGAUUGAGCUUA